rnacentral:precursor_RNA from 1 species
GCGCCCGCGCCUCCGGCGCCGUCCCCGGGCUGACGGGGGAGGGAGCGGAGAAGCGAGCGCAG